rnacentral:lncRNA from 1 species
CCAGAUACUUUGGCUUGGAAAAACGUGCUGCAGCAAUGUAUCCUGCCUUGAAGAAUGAAGAUAGCCAAUGGAUGUAGCUCAAGCUCGCAGCAAACAACUGCAUGUAAUUGUUAAUACCCAUAUAGAAGCAUGUAGUGAAAUUGUGAUCUCCAGUUUUUUCUCUUGACCAAGUCCAGUUCAGCGGUCCCAUCUGCUGUCCCAUCCCGCUACAAGAUCUGGCAUUCGCAGCACUAAGUCACUUCGGUUGCUCCAAAAAUGAGAUGCUGCAAACAAAUUAAAGGACCGAAAGUAGUAAUGUCAGUAAACACACUAAUGUUACGUAUCUACAUCUUUUCCAAAGCACGGUAAAUAUUUUCAAAGUUUACUGUCACAUGUGUGAACGUACGUGCCUUGAUAGUUUGAUUGUUUAUCAAGGUGAAAAUAGUUGCUUAAAAGAAAUUAGUACCUCAGAUCGGUUGUUUCGAUGUACAAGUAGCUAAGAGUCCAAACUGUAUCAUCCUAUUUUGGAAAGCCGUGAGAUAACCAGCCGGACGGUUAAGUGAUACUAGUGUCUCACUCUGCGUGUUCUUUUUUUUCCAUCGCAUAAAAUAUAAAUUAUGUUGCAUUACAAACUAUACAAGUAGGGGAGCAAGAUGGAAAGCUAAAACCAAAAAACUUCCAUUUGACUCGAGAAUUCCAACAAAUGGUGGGAAGCAUUGCGAAGACAGCGAACAAGUCCGCAGUAAAACUUAAGCUAGGACGCGGACAGCGCGGCUACUCCCUAAAACUCGGGUCAAAACCUUCUAAUCGGGGAAAAGGAGUAGUGUUCCGUGGCGAUUGCAAUCUCUUACCUUGGAAGGGAGCAGACAGCAGAGCGGAGGUCGCUGGACGUGCCACGGCGUCAGACGCCCUGACCGAGUCGGGGCCCCCGCCCCCGGCAACUUUACGCCGGAGCGCGUGCGCAUUGGCUCCCCGCGCCGCCGGCCGCCGUUGCUGCUGCUCCGUUUGGGACUCCGGUAGGUG